rnacentral:lncRNA from 1 species
UUAGUUAAUUCGGAUUCGGCAAAAAAACGGUACGGGUAAAAAUUCGGUACGGGUAUAAUUCGGAUAAAAUUCAUCUUCUAAUUUUUAAAUUUAUUAAAAAAUACGGCUAAAAAACGGAUUUGUCAAUUAUUGGGAUACGUGAUUUAUACGGAUAUUAUACGUUCACCAAUUAAAAAUUCGGAAUAAAAAAUUCGGCUAUUAAAUUAAAUUUUUUUUCUCUCAAGAUUUAUGCUAUUAGCAUAAAUAUUUAUAUUUCUUA